GUACCAUUAGUUCCGGUUGGGGAACGCUUGCUUCAGAGGCAAGAGGUGCGGGUUCGACUCCUGCGUGACACU
rnacentral:tRNA from 1 species